GACGAACGCUGGCGGCGUGCUUAACACAUGCAAGUCGAACGAGAGCGUAGAGAAAGCUUGCUUUUUCUAAAAUCCAGUGGCAAACGGGUGAGUAACGUGACAACAACUUGCCCUACGGAUGGCGACAACAGACGGAAACGGCUGCCAAUUACGAAUACGUUCUGAAAGUCGCAUGACUAUCGGAAGAAAGGAUGGCCUCUAUUCAUAAGCCUUCGCCGGAGGUGGGGUUUGCGUCUGAUUAGCUAGUCGGAGGGGUAUCGGCGCACCAAGGCGACGAUCAGUAGCAGGACGGAUAGGAUGGGCGGCCACAUUGGAACUGAGACACGGUCCAUACUCCUACGGGAGGCAGCAGUGGGGAAUCGGCCGGAAUGGGCGAGAGCCUGACGGAGCAACGCCGCGGGAGUGAAGACGGCCUUCGGGUUGGAAAGCUCGGUUAUACGGGACGAAUAAGCUUGUGGUUAAUACCCAUGAGGAGUGACGGUACCGGAAGAGAAAGCCACGGCUAACUACGUG
rnacentral:rRNA from 1 species